CAAUUUAACAUUUUGCUUUCUAAUUAAUAAAGUAGUUUAUACUAACAUCUAAAGACUAACUAUAAGUUAAUACAGAAGUAUUACAAUUAUUUUAAACCUAAAGGCGUACAUUUCGUAGGAACUUCAUGAUGUUUUAUUAGCAGACUAAUCAACGUGUCCCCUAAAUUUUUAUUUUUAAGGAAAAAAAAGGAUACAAACCGCACGACCAAGUUUCUGUACAAGACGCCAAAAGCUAAUCUCCCUUUCAAAGGAAUUUCUUCGGACCCAAUUAAGAUUGUGUCAUCAUGACUCAGGUAUCUCUUCAGCACAUUUCUUAAUCAUAAAUACACUUACCUAAAUUACGAAAUGAGAUCACAAAAUAACUAAGUAUCGUUGAUCCGUUAUAUCACCUAAAUGGGAGUGACUGUAAAGAAAAAUAAAGCAAGAAAAGAAGGGAGAACAAAUAUAGAAUUAAGCAGAGAUUCUCUAGGAACUUAAUUCAUAGUAUACCUUUUUCUAGUAAUUUCAUAAUUCUUACUUAUCCAUCCAUUUUUUAUUUUUAAAAAAAGAAAUAACAACGUUUAAAAAUUAUAGUAUUAAACAUGAUAGGUAGCUUUUGCUACCACACACAAUAUGCAUUAACCUCACCUCCAAUGGUAUCUAAGGUAGCUUUUGUUAUCUUCCAGGAUACACUAGGGAGGCUAGUAGUAGCACAACUCCCUCAACUCAGUUGUAAAAUGCUCUGCUGGUCUUAAAGAAAAAGUUUUACAUAUUAGUUUUGUUUGGUAAUUAACAAAAAAAAAACUCAAACUUGGUAAGAGUUAGGCGGGUUUCGGUAAGAGUUAGGCGGGUUUCGCCAUGACCCACUAUUUAGGUAGAAAUGACGUGGGAUAGCCACUUUUUAAUAUAGUAUUUAGUUUUUAUCCAGUAUUUUUAAUGCUGAGCAAAAUUAGCUACUACUCUAUUAAAACUAAUACGAAAAGACGUUUUUACCCUUUCUUUAUGAGUGCUGUGUAAAUAUAAAGGACAUGGUGUCCUUAACAUUUACACUACAUAUAUGAAGUUAAGGACGUCAUGUCCUUAACAUUCACACUGUACAUAUGAAGUCAAGGACAUGAUGCCCUAAAGUUUAAUAACGGAAGGUGCAAAUACAAGACAAUUUGUUCUUAAUAUUUACAUAACAUUCAUGAAGUUAAGGACAUCAUGUCCUUAAUAUUUAUACAACACCCAUGUCUAGCACAGGGGUAUUUUCGUCCGGGUGGGUAAUAAUUUAUUAAGCACUGGUUAAAGAGUAAAUACAUUUUAAACAGUGGUUAAAGAGUAAAGACAUCUCUAAUUAGUGGCUAACCGUACACUUCCCCCACUAUUUAGCCCACUUAACUCAGCCCAAGUAAUCUGUAGAUGGGUUUCACCAAACUCGGCCCAACAACUUCAUUUUACAGCCUUAGUUGUAACUAACCCAAUAAACGGUCUUACAACUAGCUUGAUACGUGGUUAAAAUAAAGGUUAUGGUCUCAUUGCAAUAUUGAAAAUGUUUCGGCUCCUUGUAUUUUCAUUGGUUCGUCAUUGUUUAGACAUAACCAACUGCAGGCAGUUUCUAUAAUUGAUGGAAAAGCGAGUAACAAAAGUUAAGUGCAAUGAAGCCAUUUCUCUACAACAAUGAAUACAUCUACAAAGAAAUAAAGAUGAGAGGUCAACGUACAAGUUACUUACAAUAAAUGUGAAGUUAUGCUUGGCUUAAUUCUUUCAUCUAUGAUCACAUGAUUCUCAGUAGAAACAAUCCUUCACUCAGCCCAGACGAUUAAUAACAGAGAAAAAAAAAGUAGUUGAGAUAAUAAAUAGACAGUAGCAACUAGCAAGAAG
rnacentral:lncRNA from 1 species